AUUUUCCUCCAUUAAAUGUCUAUUUGUUAAAGAAACACGAAUCGGAAUCACCCAUUUUUCUCCAUUAAACACCCAUUUUUCCUCCAUUGUUAAUAUUAGCAAGAGAAAUGAAACAGAAGAAAGUUCUUAGAUCCAUUUGUUAAAGAAAUGGGAACAAAAAAUGGGAUAGUUUCAGUUUCAAAAAUGGGAUAAUUUGAAUGAAAAUUAUUCAGUGAAAACUAUUCAGAGGAAAAUAUUAACAAGAAAAUUCUAGAAAAAUUUUCCUCCAUUAAACACCCAUUUUUCCUCCAUUAAACACCCAUUCAAAUUUCUUAGAUCCAUUUGUUAAAGAAACACCCAACAUAAUUUUUUCCUCACCUUUCUUAGAUUCAUUUGUUUGAACAAAUUGAUAAUUUAUUAAAUUUUUUAAGUGAGUUGAGUUUUUCGGUGAAAAUUCAUCGGAAAAUCUGACAAGUGUGACUGUGUUGGGGUGGAAGGAGAUGGAUGAGUGUGUGUGCAGGUGGGGCAGUAUGGGGGAGAACGGAGUGUGUGUGCAGGUGUGGGGGUAGACGGGAGUUAUAUAUAUAUAUAUAUAAUUAUUAAAAAACAUACUUUAUUUACGUGGCUCUGAUGUGACGGUGAUGUGUCAGCGAGUGUGAUGCACUCUCCGUUAUGAGAGUGGUAUUAUAUAUUAAGGGGUGAAAGUAAUUCACUUUAAAGAUGUUAAGGAGGUAAAUAAAUAUAAGUUAAGUUUAAGUGCUAAAGUGAGUUGGGAGGAGAAGUUCAGGGAAAAAAAUGUCUUAUCUCUUCAAUUUACUUUCAUAAUGAGUUAUUGUUUGGAUGCAACUAUUGUCAUGAUUCUCGUAGCCGAAUAAUUAGGCUCUUUUGAAGAACUUAUUUUGUACCAUCAAAUAUU
rnacentral:lncRNA from 1 species